AAGAAACGAUCCACGUGUGCAUGCAGCAGAGCUAUCUCGUAAGAGACGUUUCUUAUGCUUGGUGCAACGGAUGGGACAUACAAAAUAGGAUAAAGAGCGAAAGGGCGAUAUUUUCAAUAUAUUUGUACAACUGGUUCGAUAAAUAAGGAAGACCCACCCAUGCCAGAGCGUAACGAGAGGUCUCUGAAACAGAAAUAAAUAAGCGGCUUUUUUUCCUGGAGCUUUCACGUGUAUAGCAGCAGAGGGUAUAAAUAGAAAGAGGUUCAGUAUAUCGCGACCCGUGUGCUGUGAUGUACAUCGAUUAGUAUACACAGUAUACACAGUUCACUUAUCGUUGAAGUGUACCAAUGGCGCGUAUCGCUCUCCUCCAGCGAGCCUCUCGGCUAAUCAUUGUAUUACAAGCCACGGAAUCAUUCGACACAAAAAGAUCUUGCGUACUUACUUGCGGUACGUGAUGUGCAUCGUUAACGAUGCCAAGCAAGUUGAAACAACUUGGAAUUGUUUCAGUUUACUGUACUUUGUAA